UGAAAGGGAAGCGAAUGGAGUUAGCAAUUCGCCCUGCCAGAUUCAGUUGCUCGUGCGCCGCGACGUGCGCGCUCUCGAUCCGCAUGGACGAGGCGUGCGCGGGUGCGGCGCUCGGACGGCGCACUUCUGGCGGGCGAGCGUCAGCGUCGGUUGUCGACGGGCGAUAAGGACGCGAGGAAGGUGGAGCGGCCCUCGGGCCGCUUGUUAAGCCUUGCGCACGUAUAGCUCGACGGCGACCGUGGCUCCGAAGGAGGCGACGCGUGCCUCUAGCUGGUGACUCGAACGAUCGGUCUGGCAUGUCGACCGUGGCGGACGGCACGCCUGUGCGCUCGAACUGCUGCCGGUCGAUCGUGCGAUGUUCGCACACUACGCGUCGAAGAUGCUGACGACCAUACGGCUCCAUCCGACCCGUCUUGAAACACGGACCAAGGAGUCUAACAUGUGCGCGAGUCUCCGGGUGAUCGAAACCCGUGGGCGCAAUGAAAGUAAAGAUCGUCCCAGACGAUUGAGGUGAGAAGCAGGCGCCACCGAGCGCCUGCCGCAUCAUCGACCGACCUAUUCUGCUCUCAGAGAGGUUUGAGUAAGAGCGUAUCUGUUG
rnacentral:rRNA from 3 species